rnacentral:rRNA from 1 species
UACGAAGGGGGCAAGCGUUGUUCGGAAUUACUGGGCGUAAAGGGCUCGUAGGCGGCCAACUAAGUCAUACGUGAAAUCCCUCGGCUUAACCGGGGAACUGCGUCUGAUACUGGAUGGCUUGAGAUUGGGAGAGGGAUGCGGAAUUCCAGGUGUAGCGGUGAAAUGCGUAGAUAUCUGGAGGAACACCGGUGGCGAAGGCGGCAUCCUGGACCAACACUGACGCUGAGGAGCGAAAGCCAGGGGAGCAAACGGG